ensembl:snRNA U1 U1 spliceosomal RNA
GUACUCACCUGGCAGCGGAGAUACGAGAUCACGAAAGUGGUCUUCCCAGGUCGAGGCUUAUCCUCCGCCCUCCGAUGUGCCAACCCUGCGAUUUUCCCAAAAGUGGGAAACUCGGCUUCAUCAUUCGUGGUCAUGGGGGCUGCAUUCAUGCUUUCCUCUG